GAUGAACGCUGGCGGCGUGCCUAGUACAUGCAAGUCGAGCGAACGGACGAGAAGCUUGCUUCUCUGAUGUUAGCGGCGGACGGGUGAGUAACACGUGGAUAACCUACCUAUAAGACUGGGAUAACUUCGGGAAACCGGAGCUAAUACCGGAUAAUAUUUUGAACCGCAUGGUUCAAAAGUGAAAGACGGUCUUGCUGUCACUUAUAGAUGGAUCCGCGCUGCAUUAGCUAGUUGGUAAGGUAACGGCUUACCAAGGCAACGAUGCAUAGCCGACCUGAGAGGGUGAUCGGCCACACUGGAACUGAGACACGGUCCAGACUCCUACGGGAGGCAGCAGUAGGGAAUCUUCCGCAAUGGGCGAAAGCCUGACGGAGCAACGCCGCGUGAGUGAUGAAGGUCUUCGGAUCGUAAAACUCUGUUAUUAGGGAAGAACAUAUGUGUAAGUAACUGUGCACAUCUUGACGGUACCUAAUCAGAAAGCCACGGCUAACUACGUGCCAGCAGCCGCGGUAAUACGUAGGUGGCAAGCGUUAUCCGGAAUUAUUGGGCGUAAAGCGCGCGUAGGCGGUUUUUUAAGUCUGAUGUGAAAGCCCACGGCUCAACCGUGGAGGGUCAUUGGAAACUGGAAAACUUGAGUGCAGAAGAGGAAAGUGGAAUUCCAUGUGUAGCGGUGAAAUGCGCAGAGAUAUGGAGGAACACCAGUGGCGAAGGCGACUUUCUGGCCUGUAACUGACGCUGAUGUGCGAAAGCGUGGGGAUCAAACAGGAUUAGAUACCCUGGUAGUCCACGCCGUAAACGAUGAGUGCUAAGUGUUAGGGGGUUUCCGCCCCUUAGUGCUGCAGCUAACGCAUUAAGCACUCCGCCUGGGGAGUACGACCGCAAGGUUGAAACUCAAAGGAAUUGACGGGGACCCGCACAAGCGGUGGAGCAUGUGGUUUAAUUCGAAGCAACGCGAAGAACCUUACCAAAUCUUGACAUCCUUUGACAACUCUAGAGAUAGAGCCUUCCCCUUCGGGGGACAAAGUGACAGGUGGUGCAUGGUUGUCGUCAGCUCGUGUCGUGAGAUGUUGGGUUAAGUCCCGCAACGAGCGCAACCCUUAAGCUUAGUUGCCAUCAUUAAGUUGGGCACUCUAAGUUGACUGCCGGUGACAAACCGGAGGAAGGUGGGGAUGACGUCAAAUCAUCAUGCCCCUUAUGAUUUGGGCUACACACGUGCUACAAUGGACAAUACAAAGGGCAGCGAAACCGCGAGGUCAAGCAAAUCCCAUAAAGUUGUUCUCAGUUCGGAUUGUAGUCUGCAACUCGACUACAUGAAGCUGGAAUCGCUAGUAAUCGUAGAUCAGCAUGCUACGGUGAAUACGUUCCCGGGUCU
rnacentral:rRNA from 1 species